CUGAAUUAGUGAGGAAAUCUCAAACCUGACACAUAAUUAAGUUCUCUGAAUUGAGAAGCCUUUCCAUGUAGUAAGAGUACAGGGGGAAGGUGGCUAAAGUUAUGAUGUUCAUGAUUUUUUACUGGACCGAAGUAGAUAUCUGCGUGGUCAACUGAAAUACAUUUUGUGCCUCACCAGUCUCUUGCAAAAAGCUUAUAUCAUCUCCAUAAAGAUGUGAAGGUAGGUUUGGCUUUGUGUUACAAGGAAGAUCUUUUUUUUGAUUGAUAGAGCUUUUAAGGAGUCUGAUUAAAUUAAUAAAUCAGCAAAGUUAAUUUUGAGGGCCAUCAUUACUACUUACCAUUUCAGAAAACUUGAGGCUCAUUUUGUAUGUGUAUAGUGCUAUGUAUGAAAAGAUUUGCCAUGGUUAAGCUUGUAGUCAGGAUUUUUAUCAAUCAAGAUUCAUGCUGCCUUCAGUUAUGGAUUAUUAUUUCUUAUCUCUAGCAUGAAUAGAAAAACCACUAAUAAUCUGAUUACUUGAUAAUGCCAAUGGAUUAAAGGGAUGAUAAAUGUAACUAGAAGAAUUUGGUGUCAUUGUUGGUUUGACACUCAACUAGGAUUCAAAGAUAUUGCUAGCAUAUGUUAAAUAACGAUUGCGCUUCUUUGGGAAAAACGCCUAAUAAUUCACGUGACAUUCAACUCUUGCUUCGUAUGUGUCCCAUUAUUAGUGCUGCUGUUCCAUGUAAUUAGCACUGUAACUGUUAGAUAUUUCUAAUCUUACAGCCGAUAAAGAAUACUUAAAUGAUGAACAUGAUUCUGCAAGUUUUCCACAGCUUGAUUCAGCAUGUAUGAUCAGAGAGUUAGUCCUCUUUCUGUCUCUCUCUCGUUUGCUUUAUCUCCCUUCUGUUUUGUUCUUUU
rnacentral:lncRNA from 1 species